CGUCUUAAGCAUGCAAGUCAAACGGGAUGUAGCAAUACAUCUAGUGGCGAACGGGUGAGUAACGCGUGGAUGAUCUACCUACGAGAUGGGGAUAACUAUUAGAAAUAGUAGCUAAUACCGAAUAAAGUCAAUUAAUUUGUUAAUUGAUGAAAGGAAGCCUUUAAAGCUUCGCUUGUAGAUGAGUCUGCGUCUUAUUAGCUAGUUGGUAGGGUAAAUGCCUACCAAGGCGAUGAUAAGUAACCGGCCUGAGAGGGUGAACGGUCACACUGGAACUGAGAUACGGUCCAGACUCCUACGGGAGGCAGCAGCUAAGAAUCUUCCGCAAUGGGCGAAAGCCUGACGGAGCGACACUGCGUGAAUGAAGAAGGUCGAAAGAUUGUAAAAUUCUUUUAUAAAUGAGGAAUAAGCUUUGUAGGAAAUGACAAAGUGAUGACGUUAAUUUAUGAAUAAGCCCCGGCUAAUUACGUGCCAGCAGCCGCGGUAAUACGUAAGGGGCGAGCGUUGUUCGGGAUUAUUGGGCGUAAAGGGUGAGUAGGCGGAUAUAUAAGUCUAUGCAUAAAAUACCACAGCUCAACUGUGGAACUAUGUUGGAAACUAUAUGUCUAGAGUCUGAUAGAGGAAGUUAGAAUUUCUGGUGUAAGGGUGGAAUCUGUUGAUAUCAGAAAGAAUACCGGAGGCGAAGGCGAACUUCUGGGUCAAGACUGACGCUGAGUCAC
rnacentral:rRNA from 1 species